UACAGAGGGGGCAAGCGUUAUUCGGAAUUACUGGGCGUAAAGGGCGCGUAGGCGGAUAGUUUAGUCAGAGGUGAAAGCCCAGGGCUCAACCUUGGAACUGCCUUUGAUACUGGCUAUCUUGAGUUCGGGAGAGGUGAGUGGAAUGCCGAGUGUAGAGGUGAAAUUCGUAGAUAUUCGGCGGAACACCAGUGGCGAAGGCGACUCACUGGCCCGAUACUGACGCUGAGGCGCGAAAGCGUGGGGAGCAAACAGG
rnacentral:rRNA from 1 species